UGAAAUCCAAUUCAAGGUCAUCAUAGCCAAAGCAUUCAUCAAAACUCUCUCUUGUAAAGCUUUCUUGUGUACAAUAUAAAGCAUUAUUUGUUGAGUGUUCUCUUGUUCUUUACUAAGCUUCCUUUCAAGUUGUUUACUUGGUGAAAAACUUACUUAACAACUUUUUAGAGAGAUUGUAAGACCUCAACUUUUUAUGGAUAAAAUUUAAUUUUCUUUAAAUAUUAUUCUAAAUAGUAAAGUGUUGAUUUAAUAAAUGUUAUAGUUAUGGGUGAUAUUGCAAAUUAUAAAAAGUAAACAGUUGUCAGAAAAUAUUCGUUUUGUCGGGUAAGAUUCUUUUUGUCGGAAAAUAUUCGUACGAAGGCUCCGAAAUAACCAAUUAUCGGUGGACCCAAAACAGAAUAAAUGUCGAAUAUAAAAUCAACAAAAAUAACUUUUUAAAAUUGACGGCAAAACUUUUACCGUUAACUGUUAAAAUACCCGAUGAUAAAAAGUACAGUAAUACGCGUUGUUCCACAGAAGUACGCGGUAUUGCACAGUAACACACGGUAUUCCACAGUUUCUCUAAUUAUUAAUUUAAUAAGUGUUACAGUAGAAGUCACUCCGUAUUUCAUUCAAUAAUUG
rnacentral:lncRNA from 1 species